UACGGAGGGUGCAAGCGUUAAUCGGAAUUACUGGGCGUAAAGGGUGCGUAGGCGGUUAUGUAAGUCAGAGGUGAAAUUCCCGAGCUCAACUUGGGCGCUGCCUUUGAUACUGCAUGACUAGAGAUUGGAAGAGGUAGGUAGAAUUCCUAGUGUAGAGGUGAAAUUCGUAGAUAUUAGGAGGAAUACCAGUGGCGAAGGCGGCCUACUGGUCCACAUCUGACGCUGAGGCACGAAAGCGUGGGGAUCAAACAGG
rnacentral:rRNA from 1 species